GGAAUAGCGUCUACGUAGGCCAAAGUGAGUGACAUUAUGUAUGUGAAUGCGAAAACCUGUUCAAAAAGAAAAAUUUAUUUUUCUUUGUUUGGUUGACCGCUAUGACUGUGUUGUAAGAUGUAGUACAACAUCUGCUGACUAACAGAUUAAACAGACAUUAAAAUUAUAAAAAUGUCCCUACGCUGAAAGAGAGGAGUACAUAAUAUUCGUCUUGCCACAGAAAUCAACGAUAGAGUCUGUAUACAGCAUAUAUAUUCGUAAUUGGCAUGGAAUUGCGAAUUUUGAUACAAAUUGGUGGAGCUAGAUACUGAUCGAAGAGAGGAGAGGAGAGUAGGUG